rnacentral:tRNA from 1 species
GGGCGAGUGGCGGAACGGCAGACGCGCCGGCCUUAGGAGCCGGUGUCGAAAGACGUGCGAGUUCGAGUCUCGCCUCGCCCACCA